rnacentral:lncRNA from 1 species
UUUACUCCAUUUGUGAACGAAAAUUCCACCUGUGACAACUUGUUCGGGCAUUACAAAACACAUACAAACAACAGUAAAGACAUCACUAGAUCCAACCUUUAAAAUGUGAAUUGACGCGCGUUAAGUUCAUCGUUUGCAUCUCCCAGCUAUGCCGCGAAUAGUACAAUGCCGACCACUGAGAUGUCGAAGCGGCUUAAUUCUUAUUUAUGUCGAUUCUGGCACCUUAAUCAUUUUCCCCGCGGCUUCCCUUAGUUGAUACUAAUCCACU